GCCGAUGUAGCUUAACGGGGAAGUGAGGGACUGUGUCCUCUGGAUGCUGGUUCAAUUCUGGCCGUUGGCG